rnacentral:lncRNA from 12 species
AUGUUGCAUUCAGGCCUGGGGUUCUUGGCGGCUUCGGUCCUUAGGUGCACACCCCCUGCCCCCCGUAGGCCUGAAUGGAGGCCUUUGCGGGCGUUUGGAACAUCGCCCCUGCUGGUUUCCGUGUUCCCCCUCCCAACCAGUCGGCCUCCAAGCCCGCCUGCCGUGAACUUUGUAAAAUUACAUCUGUGUCACUCCGCUAUUAAAAACCCUGCCAUAUCUCCAUAUGUCUCCUCUGUAAAACCUAACUCCUCGGCAUUCAGUGCCAACAGGAGCCUGCCACACAACAAGCCUCACUAAAUACUUUGAUGAACAGUGUCCUCGGAACAUGAUGUGCUCUUCACAAGAUUUUAGAGUCCCUCAAGCUGCUACCUCCUUGUCAAUAUGGCCAACUCCUACUCAUCUUUGAAGGUCUUUCACAUUUAUGUCCUCAGCCAGGCCUGCACCCAAUAACCACUCCCUUCCAAGGGGGCUAUUCAGUUAUUCAUUCAUCUUAGCUUUUCCUUUCAUAUGUAUAUAUUUAUAUUUAUUCAUAUAUACUUAUAUUUUUAUCAUAAUCUUUUUUACUAUACUAUGAUUUUUUUUUAAAGAUUUUAUUUAUUUAUUCCUGAGGGACAAACACAGAGAGAGAGAGAGAGAGAGGCAGAGACACAGGCAGAAGGAGAAACAGGUUCUAUGCAGGGAGCCUGAUGUGGGACUUGACCCCUGGUCUCCAGGAUCAUGCCCUGGGCCAAAGGCAGGCUCUAAACCGCUGAGCCACCCAGGGAUCCCUAUACUAUGAUUUUUAAGAUUAUUCAUUUAUUUAUUUGACAGAGAGAGAGAGAGAGUGCGCGCGCACAAGCAGGGGGAGGGGCAGGCAGAGGGAGAAGUGGGCUCCCCACUGAUCAAGGAGCCUGACGCUGGGCUCUAUCCCAGGACCCUUGGGAUUAUGACUUGCAGUGAAGGCAGACGCUUAACCAACUAACUGAGCCACCGAGGUGCCUCUUGACUGUGAGAUUUUUUUUUUAAAGAUUUAUUUAUUUAUUUAUUUAUGAUAGACAUAGAUAGAGAUUGGCAGAGAUACAGGCAGAGGGAGAAGCAGGCUCCAUGCCGGGAGCCCGAUGUGGGACUCGAUCCUGGGACUCCAGGAUUGCGCCCUGGGCCAAAGGCAGGCGCUAAACCACUGAGCCACCCAGGGAUCCCUGACUAUGAGAUUCUUAAGAACAGAAACUAGAUCUGACUUCAGGUAUAUACUUGUACAUGUUCGUAGAGCAAAUGGACAGAAGUCCUUUUCCUCCUUCUGCAAGCAUCUCUUCCAAGACUCCCAUAGCAGGAGACCCUUCCCAUGGUGACUUUCACUGUUCCCAGCUGAGUCUCCUCACUGAUUGAUCAGGGCAAGCAGGUCUUGCCUUUUGAAGUGGGGUUCCAGCCACCUGGCUCCUCCCUACCUCUUCUCCAUCUCUCAUGUUACAUUUCCCCUUGCUAAUUCACUUGGCUCUAGCCACACUAACCUUCUUUCUGUUCCUCAAAUAUGCCAAGCUUAUUCUCACCUUAGGCCUCUGCAGUUCUGUCUAGAACACAUUUCCUCCAGAUUUUCUCUUUUUUUUUUUCUCCAGAUUUUUUUUUUAAUUUAUUUAUUUAUGAUAGUAACACAGAGAGAGGGAGAGAGAGGCAGAGACAUAGGCAGAGGGAGAAGCAGGCUCCAUGCACCGGGAGCCCAACGUGGGAUUCAAUCCCGGGUCUCCCGGAUCGCGCCCUGGGCCAAAGGCAGGCGCUAAACCACUGCGCCACCCAGGGAUCCCUUUCCUCCAGAUUUUCAAAUGGCUAAUCCUUUCUCAUAAUUCAAGAUUCAUUUCCAGUACUAUUUCCUGAGAGGCCUUCCCUACCCACAUAAAAGCAGCCCCCAAGGAGUACCUGGGUGACUCAGUAGGUUAAGCACCUGACUCUUGCUUUCAGCUCAGGUCAUGAUCUCAGGGUCUCAAGAAGGAGCCUAGCGUGUGGCUCCAGCCUCAGCAGGGAGUCUGUUUGAGAUUCUCUCUCUCCCAUUUCCCUCUGCCUCUCCUUCCACCCCCCCUAAAAAAUAAAAAUAAAAACAAAACAGGAGAAAUAAGCCGC